rnacentral:lncRNA from 1 species
UGGAAUGUCUCUUUUUGGAUCUUCUUGGCCUAAGCUGGACUGGGAAGAGCUGAAAAGCUUUUUUUCUGGAACAGCUGAUUGUGAGUUUUUUUCUGCAGCUUGCAAAUCAAAAGUACAGAUAAAUGAAGGCAAACAUCCCAGUGGUGGCCUGUUUGAGACCUGCCUGCAUCAAGUCUUUGAGAGGUGUGUUGUUUACCACUGGCACAUUCACUGAGGCAAACUACAGCUGUGUUUUCCCUUUUACAAAGGUACCUCUCCAGCACACUUUUUUUUUUUUUUAUGUCAACAUCUUCUCUUGUCCUUUAAAAAAAACCCCAAACCAUUUGGGUCUUUGUUUUUACAGAAAAAAACAAACUUGAAGAUGGAAUAUUUGAAAUUCCCAUGAGGCAAAUGUGAAAGAGAAACUCUUAUUUUGCAAAUCUGCCUAUGUUGCAUGAGCCAAUCCACAUUUUUUGAUGAGUGGAGUUGCCAGCAAUGCAUGCCAGGAAAAAGGCCUCAGUAAAGGAGCUCCAUCAACAAAAAAGUCCCGGGAAGGCAUCCACCAGAGGGAGUUCCAUGAAUGCAUCAAACCCAGCCGGAGCUAUAAAUGAUUAUACAGCGGCUGAGAAGAGCCGCCUGUGCACUCCCCGGGACAGACAAGCUGCUCCCCGCAGCUGCUGGUCAGGAGCCUGGGCUGAAUUCAGCAAAGUACUGACCCAAAUCUGCAUAAUCUUAAGUGAAUACUCAGUGAACUCUAAGGAAUUGCUCUGUGCCUGGCAUUAAGCGAGUGUUUUAUUAGAGCGGGGUCAAAAUACUCAGUGCUUUGCAGGAUCAUAUGAGGAAAAGAAAAGACUCUGUUUACACCUCGG